rnacentral:lncRNA from 1 species
ACUAGAAGAGGGAUUGCUGGGUCACAUGGAUCAACCCAAGACCUUUGGAUUAAAGGGGAAUUGGGAGAGCCAGGACAGGCACUAGGAUGGACCAUUCAGAGGUCUAGAUCCAGCAUGGAGUCAGUGAGGGUGAGAAGACUUCAGCGGAGAGGGAGAUGGAAAGAACCAAAUCUGCCAGCAUGAGGGCUCAGGCAGGAGGGUAAGUCCCCCCAUCUUAGGGGAAGCCAGCGCUAGGGAAGUGAACGUACCCAUCAAAGCCAGGGAUGACGCGCCAGCCAGGCAUUUGGUAGAGGGAUGGGGAGCGCGUGCUCGGCACACAGACAGAUUUUCAGUAGGUGGCUGAAAGACACGAGGGGAAAGAUUGUGUAACUGAGUUGUGGGGAAGGAGAACAGUGGCCUAUUGUUGGAGACCUAAUAAACAAAUUGAGAGCGUUCAUCUUGCGGGUGUGGGCCUGAAAUAAGUUCCGAGACAGCUUAAUGAUCCAUCACAGGUUCUUUCCUAGGAGUGAGUCACCAGCACAUUUUAUUAACCCAGUUCACCCUUCGUUGCCCCAGCGCCUGCAACAAAGCAACCGAGAUCCCGCAGCUGAGCCGCUCCCAUCAUGAAGCCUCUGGCCUACACAAUGGGGAAGAUGAAACCAGCCAGCCUCAUCAAUCGUCCCUGGGCAGGCCAGUCUCCUCUUCAGUCUCAUGUUCAGGGUUUGCAUAAUUAGGCGCCUGAUGGAGGCGAAUGUCUGCCCCACCGAAGGUCGUCAUUGUGCAGCACUCUGUCGGGGAGCUGUGAGGUACACAGCAGCCCGGGCCUGCUCCGAACAGCAGCAGAGCCUGUGAGGAGGAGCCUGGCUUUUGCAGGAGCGCAUUAAUAAGGUUGGAAACCCGUGGCUUGGGAAUCAGAGCCAAUCGCAGUCAUGUCAGAAAUGGAAAUAAGAAACUCCUGGAUGAAAUGGAGGAGCCAGCAACCCUCUAACCAGAGGUUCUGAAUUUCAAUUUGGGGUCCACUCUGCAAAAGCUGAGGGCUAUUGAGCAAAUCCUUCAACCCCUCAGUGUCUUUGUUUCCUGGACUGCAAAAUGGUGGUGACAUACCAGUUCCCCUUAUCUUAGAGACCAAUCGGUUUACACUUUGAAGAGCUCACGGUGUGUUCAGGGCACUAUUCUAAGGGUGUUACAUGUGUAUUAACUCUAUAAUCAGCAACAACCCUAUGCAAGGUAGGUGCUAUGAUUAUUAUUAUUAUUAUUAUUAUUGUUAUUAUUAUUGUCCCUCGGUUAAAGAUGAGAUAACUAAGCUAUAGGGAAUUUAAGAAACUUGCCCAGGCCAGGCACGUUGGCUCAUGCCUGUAAUCCCAGCACUUUGGGAAGCCGAGCUGGGGAGAUCACUUGAGCCCAGGAGUUUAAGACCAACCCUGGCAACAUAGCAAGACCCCUAUCGCUGGAAAAAAAAAAAAAAAAAACUUAGCCAGGUGUGAUUGUGCACGCCUAUAGUCCCACCUACUUGGGAGGCUGAGGUAGGAGGAUCUCUUGAAUCUGGGAGGUCAAGGCUGCAGUGAGCCAUGAUUGUGCCACUGCACUCCAGCCUGGGAGACAGAGCAAGACUCCGUCUCCGAAAAAAAAAAAAAAAAAAAAAAAAAGGAAGAAAAAAGAGAAAGAAACUUGCCCAAAGUCACACACGAUUGUGGAAUCCAGGCUUCAGCUUCGGUAGCUGACCUCUAGAGUUCAUGCUGCAAACCUUCAAACGCAACAUGCACUUCACCUCCUCCAUCGGCAGUAAAAUGCUUUACAAAUAGAACUGGCUUUAUUCUUUUCAACGGUUACUGACAUUUCCAGAGUGUGGAAUUAAGUGCCUUAGGCCCUGCUCACAGCAUGUUUGUGGUUGCUAGGGUUAUCCUGCAGGAAAGGUUGGGGGUGAUGGUUGUGUCUACUGUGUACUGAGGGCCUAAUGUCACUUCUUACAAAGCCAUGCAAGAUGAGGGAGCUGAGACCAGGAGAACUAAAGUGACACCCCACAGCCAUGAAGCUCAUAAACUGAACAUCUGGGAUUUGAAUUUGAGACUCAUCUGAUUCCAAACUUUCCACGCAGGGCUUCUUAGACUGUAAGCAGAAGCUAGGUAACAUGAUAGUUAAGAGUUGGGCUCUAGAAACUGUGUUUGUAGCCCAUUUCUGCCACUUCUUAGCUGUGUGACCUUGGGCAAAUAACUUUGCCUCUCUGGGCUUUGGUUUGCUCAUUUGUAAAAUGGAGAUGACAAUAGUAUCUACUCAUAAGGUUACGAUGAGGUGCAUGUGGGUUAACACAAGGAAAGCAUGGGUCAGUGGCACAUGGUAUGCUCUCAAUGGUUAUUAACGUAACAAUGCCAGGCCUGGGGCAAGAGCGUAGUACUUGACUCAAGGUUUGCAUUGCUUAGGGGAGGCACGAGACCCAGAAACCAGAAAGAUUCACACACAGGUGGGGUAUUUUUUCAGGGAAGACCUGACCAGGAGGCAAGCAGUAAAGGAAGAACUUCUGGGAGGGUGGAAUGAGGCCCAGGAGACUCAGACACAGAUAAAUGAGAAAGAGUCCAGUUGGGCCAGGGAGUUAGUGUCGGGGAUCCAGAGUUAGGCAGCACCUAGUGCUCCUUCCUAGGGUUGUGCACAAUGUUCAGAGGGUCGACAGUGUCGGUAGGGGCCCAACCAGGCAGUCAGUAUGAGGGUCUGGAAAGGGUUUGGCAGCAAAGAGUACAGACAUGACCACUGGCUAGGAAAUUUGAGGCAGGACUCUACUUUCUGGAUAAACAAGGGCCAGGGAAGCAAUUAUGUGAGCUGAUCGGGCUGGUAUCAACUAGCUAAUCUAAUGAGCUAAGUAUGUUUAUUAGAGUAGGAGCUUGGUAACAGGUAAAUCUUAUUAGUCUUUGUAGACAUCACUGCGCCAGGACUAUGACCAGGAGAGUGAGGCACUCACCUUAGGCACAAAAUUUAAGGGAGUGCCUAAAACACCCAAUACUCUAGAUAAAUAAUAUUUUAAUGCAAUAUUUUCAACAUCCAAAUUAGUGCAAAAAAUCCAUGAGACGCAAAAUAUCAAACUUUUCAAUGAAGACAGAACCUGUAUUAUUGAUUUUUCCUUUUUCCUCAGGCUUCAGUAGGUUCAGCCAGGCACUGCAGACAACGCCUUAAAUACACACCUUUUGGUGAGUCAGAUAGUGGGCAUUUUGGCUUUUAUCUUAUUUUUUUAGAGAUGAGGUCUUGCUAUUUGCACAGGCUGGAGUGCCGGGGCUGUUUACAGGCAUAAUCAUUGUGCACUGCAGCCUUGAACUCCUGGGCGCGAGGGAUUACCCUGCCUCAGUCUCCUGAGUAGCUGGGACAACAGGCAUGGGCCAGCAUGCCUGGCUUAAUCGUGGGCUAUUGAUGUAUUUAUUUAUUUAUUGAGACGGAGUCUCACUCUGUCGCCUAGGCUGGAGUACAGUGGCUCAAUCUCGGCUCACUGCAACCUCCGCCUCCCGGGUUCGAGGGAUUCUUGAGCCUCAGCCACCUGAGUAGCUGGGAUUAUGGGCGCCAGCCACCAUGCCUGGAUAAUUUUUGUAUUUUUAGUAGAGAUGGGUUUCUCCAUGUUGGCCAGGCUGGUUUUGAACUUCUGGCCUCAAGUGAUCUGCCUGCCUCAGCCUCCCAAAGUGUUGGGAUUACAGGCAUGAGCCACCGCACCUGGCCAAUUAGGAGUUUUUUAGAUGUCAAGUCUCAGGCAGACCUUGGUGCCUUAUUGGCAGGAAAUUGAAAGCCUAUAGGUACUAGGUGGUGGAGGAUUUGACCAGUUCUGCCACAGUGGGUUCUUCUAAAGCCAGCUCCCAGGACAGGGGCCAUUCUUUCCUUAUGAAUGACCAAGACCAUACUGGCUAUUUCAACCGACUAGCGUUUUCUUCCUAUUUAUAAUCAAUAGCAUCAUUUUCAGCAUCCUGGUUCUUCUUUUUUAUGUAAAAUAAAAUAAAUAGCGUCCCUCAAAUCACACUUUUUUUAAAAUCACACCUUCUUUAAAUCUCAUACACCAUCUAUAUGCAGGACUCAGAGAUCAUCCCCCUUAGCCCCAGGCAGCUUGACUGUCAUUUGGAUAAAGCUAGGAAAGAAUGAAGGAUGUAAUUGGGUGUUAGUAGGUAUGAGAGCUCUGAAGGAGAGGUGCCUGCAAAGUUCCAGGCAAAGUCAGCCUCCAGGUAGGCAGCCAGAGUCCAGGGAACACAUAUUUGCUGAAGGUUUGUAGAAGUCCAUGGGUCAGAUUCCCAGCAGCAUUGGGAAAAGGGACAUUUAGCAGCAGUGACAGAGAGAGUUCGAAAUGGAGUUUCCUUCUACCUUAGCGGAGAAGCACUUUCAUGAGCUUCCAUUUAAGAUAGCAACUAAUCUCAUGAUACGACCUGCAGAAACCUGUAGCAAGGGAGCCAUUGGAACUGGUAUUCAGUGGGAUCUGUCAGAGCUCAGAGCUGGGAGGGCCAAAUCCAGAAAUCUGGCAGACAGUAAGUGGGCAAGAGGUCAAAACAGGGAAGGAGUUCAUUAGCACAUGCAAAGGCUUAGAUUGAGCUUGGCUCAAAGUGCAUGCCCUGUAAGUGCCCUUGUGGUGGCUGAUGGCAAGGAUGAUGGUGUUAUUUUGGCAGCCAGGAUCUGGGUUUCAGGGACAGGAUUUCUUAGUUUCUUAGAGCAGAGGUGACCAGACUGGGAUUUGAUGCUUUAUCAAAAUUUUUUGGGCAGGAUGCGGUGGCUCACGCCUUUAAUCCCAGCACUUUGGGAGGCCGAGGCAGGCAGAUCACUUGAGGUCAGGAUUUUGAAACCAGCCUGACCAACAUGGAGAAACGCUGUCUCUACUAAAAAUACAAAAAUUAGCCAGGUGUGGUGGCGCACACAUGUAAUCCCAGCUACUCAGGAGGCUGAGGUAGGAGAAUUGCUUGAACCUGGGAGGCAGAAGUUGCAGUGAACUGAGAUUGUGCUACUGCACUCCAGCCUGGGUGACAGAGUGAGACUCCGUCUCAAAAAGAAAAAAAGAGAAAAAAAUUUCCUCAAAUCUGGGAACCAAUAUUGUCAACUUUAAAUUUAGCCAAGUGAGGCAAUUCCUUUUUUUCUUGGAGACACCAUCUCUGUCACCCAGGCUGGAGUACAAUGGCACAAUCUCAGCUCACUGCAACCUUUACCUCCCAGGUUCAAGCGAUUCUCCUGCCUUAGCCUCCCAAGUAGGUGGGAUUACAGGUACGUGCCACCAUGCCUGGCUAAUUUUUGUGUUUUAGUAGAGAUGGGGUAUCAGUAUGUUGGCCAGGCUGGUCUCGAACUCCUGACCUCAGGUGAUCUAUCCACCUUGGCUUCCCAAAAAUACUAGGAUUACAGGCAUGAGCCACUCACUGCUCCCGACCUAGUGAGGCAAUUCAAACAACCAAAAAAAGCCCUAUCACCUCCCAUCACCAUGUCUUCAUAAAAGAAAAGCCAUCUUAUCACCAAAAGUAAAACAGCCAUCAUAUCAGAAUUUAAACUAGAAACAAAAAUUAACGUUAUUAAAAGCUCACUUAUGUUUUGUUGUUGUUGUUGUUUCCAGUUUGUAGCUGAUGGACAAAAACUUUGUCAUGGAUCAGCGCUGAUGGGUAGAGUUUAGGAUGCAUUCAUGCCCAGGGCUCCUCUGCCCAGGCUUGGGGCUACCUUGUGGGGCUUGGUUGUGAGGACCAUGGCCAAGGCUGGGUGGCCAGGGACGAAGUAUCUGUCCUGGCCUGAGCACCUGUGCUGACCUAGCCCAUCCACGCCAUCACAGUGGGCACCUUUGCUGUCCUUCUGGGAAUUCUCCCAGUCACUAGUGAGGGUGAUAGCUUUCCCACUUCUGGCCCAACCUGCUCCCACUCCAUUCCAGGGCCCCCUGGGUCAUCUCCCACUUACAGCCCUCCUCUCGCCUUUGGGAUCUGACACCUGAACUCGCUUUCUGCAGUUUGCCCUUUGGCAUUCUUCAAGGGCUUUGGCUGAUCCUGCCUUCUGGCUGCUCCUGCUCCUCCUGCCUGAUCCCCACCUCUGGACCCCAGCCUGGGCUGUCCUCAACUGUCUGGAAACUACUCAGAAUGUUAGAUCUUGAAUCACCUCUUGCAGCCACCACAGUGUGGACUCAAUCCUUUUUCCAUUCAUGUUCUCCUGUUCUGCAACUGGGCUGAAAUGACUGCAUGGCGAUGAGGGAGAGAAGACUGAGUCUCAAGUGGGGACGCAAUUUGUGGAAAACAAUAGGCCCCAGGGCAAGGAGCGAAAUGGGCAAUUAGCCCAGGUCUGUGUUGAAGUCAGUCUCUUGGACUUACCUGGAAGCUCUCUAAGGCAGGGAUAUAUUCAGAUCAUCUUUUCAUUUUUUUAUUUCCUUCCUCCUCCCAACUCUCCAUGUUCACCCCUCCCCAAAAAAACUAGUAAAGCUCAUUUGCAAUAUAUUUGUUGCUUUGAAUUUUUUUUUUUAUUUAUUAUUAUUAUUUUGAGACACAGUCUCACUCUGUCACCCAGGCUGGAGUGCAGUGGCACGAUCUCGGCUCACUGCAAGCUCCGCUCCCCCCUCCCCCACACCUCCCUCAAAGAGGUUUCAGUGUGACAAGGAAGAGGUCACACACACCCAGGGAGCUAGAAGUAACGCAGAAAAUACAGACUGCUUCAAGAAAAGUACGAAGGCUGGGCUAAACUGGUUUCACUUCCAAGUGAUUGGGUGAUGGCCCCUAUGGGUCAGCCUGGCCUGAAAAAGAAAUCUCCCCAUUGGGGCUCCAGCUUGUCCCAUUCAGCCCUUAACACAGCUCUGAGCUGAGGCAGGAGUCAGCAUCACCAGCACUUUUUGUUUUACAGGGUUUUUUCCCUUCAAUUCUCCAUUUGUCUUGGUCUGCAGGUGCUCUUCUCCCUGACCCUCCUUUCAUAUUCAUCCUAAAUGACAAGACCUUUCCUUAAAAACAAGCAUCUUCUCCUCCCAUGGCAAGACAAGGCUGCCCUUUGUGUGUUGUUUUCAUUAAUUUGUUGAUACUUGUUUUCAAGCUACAUUUUAUUGGACUUGUGCUUACUUUGCUGAAGCACAAAGGUUGUUUAAGCAGAAGGGCACAAGAAAGUGGAAAACUCCUGACCUCAAGUGAUCCACCCACCUCGGCCUCCCAAAGUGCUGAGAUUACAGGCGUGAGCCACCACACCCGAUCACGGGUCUUCCUGCUUCUGUGAUCACCUUCUCAUAACCUUGAGACCACUGCACAUUGAUGAAGUUCAGUUAAUCUACAAUGACUGUAGCCAUCUGAGUGACCCCAGGUGAGACCAAUAGAACUGUCGAACUAGCCAACGCACAGCAUUGUGAGAAACAAUAAAUCAUUGUUUUAAGCCAUUAUGUUUUGUGGUGGUUUGUUACAAACACAUAACUAAAACAACCUCAAAAUCUGGAUAAUAUGUUAGGGCCUGCCUGGAAAGCUGGCUGCCCCCCUGCUCUUCCUCGGCCCAUCGUGGGAACUCUUGGCUAUAAACAAAUCUUCCCGGAGUGGAUAAGUGGUCAGGAUUUAAGGUGGUAUUCUUCCCAGGUGCUCGUGCAACUUCAAAAAAAUAAAAUUCUAAGAAUGGGAUUUCAGGCCCUUAUCAAGGACAUAUUUAUGGCCAGGGACCCUCCUGCCUGCUCUUCAGAAACCACAUCUUGGCUUCUUCCUUCAAUAGCUUCCAGCCACCUGUUAAAGAUCUGCCUUUCCCAGAUGAGAAGGCAGGUCUAAUUCAGAGGAGAUUGAGCUGGUUGAUAAUGCAGAAGAAAUUUCAAGGCGACUCUGAAGCACAUCUAGGCUUCCUUGUAGCCAAACCAAACGAAAUAAUCUCAAACCCCAAAAUAUUACAGGAAAAAAAAUAAAAUCAAGUAUUGCAAAGAUGACAAAAUGUUGGGUCGGGCAUUAUAGAUCAUGCAUUAUAUAUAGCAGUUACCUACAGAUAGUAAAAAGUCACACCUGUAAUCCCAGCACUUUGGGAGGCCGAGGCGGGUAGAUCACUUACGGUCAGGAGUUUGAGACCAGCCUGGCCAACAUGGUGAAACCCUUUCUUUACUAAAAAUACAAAAAUUAGCUGGGCAUGGUGGCACGCGCCUGUAGUCCCAGCUACUGGGGAGGCUGAGGCAGGAGAAUCACUUGAACCCAGAGGUGGAGGUUAAAGUGAGCCGAGAUGGUGCCACUGCACUUCAGCCUGGGUAACAGAGUGGGACUCCAUCUCAAAAAAAAAAAAAAAAAAAAAAAAAAAAGCAGAUGGAUUCCAAUAGAAUUUGACCUCUUCUGAGGUCUUUACAUUGUUCUGAAAGGGUCUGUUUGUGUCCAUUUCCCUAACUAGACUGUAAGUCUCUUGAAAACAGGGAUCAUAUCAUAAAGUAUUCAUUGGCUGGGCAAGGUGCCUCACACCUAUAAUCCCAGUAUUUGGGAGGCCAAUAUGGGAGGAUCAGUUGAAGCCAGGAGUUCGAGACCAGCCUGGGCAACAAAGUGAGACUGACUAUUCUCUAUUUUAAAAAAAGAAAAAUUUUC